GAUGAACGCUAGCUACAGGCUUAACACAUGCAAGUAGAGGGACCGGCGCACGGGUGAGUAAAACGUAGCCAACCUGCACUUAACUCGGGGAAAGCCUAUCGCAAGAAAGAUUAAUACCCGAUGUAAAGGAUGGGGAUGCGUUCCAUUAGGUUGUUGGUGAGGUAACGGAUCACCAAGCCUUCGAUGGAUAGGGGUCCGGAGAGGAAGGUCCCCCACAUUGGAACUGGGACACGGUCCAAACUCCGACGGGAGGAAGCAGUAAGGAAUAUUGGUCAAUGGGCGUUAGCCUGAACCAGCCAAGUGGCGUAAAGGAUGAAGGCUUAUGGGUCGUAAACUUCUUUUAUAUAAGAAUAUGUAUUAUAUGAAUAAGGAUCGGCUAACUCCGUGCCAGCCGCCGCGGUAAUAC
rnacentral:rRNA from 1 species